rnacentral:rRNA from 1 species
AGCGAACGCUGGCGGCAGGCCUAACACAUGCAAGUCGAACGAACUCUUCGGAGUUAGUGGCGGACGGGUGAGUAACACGUGGGAACGUGCCUUUUGGUUCGGAAUAACUCAGGGAAACUUGUGCUAAUACCGAAUGUGCCCUUCGGGGGAAAGAUUUAUCGCCAUUAGAGCGGCCCGCGUCUGAUUAGCUAGUUGGUGAGGUAACGGCUCACCAAGGCGACGAUCAGUAGCUGGUCUGAGAGGAUGACCAGCCACACUGGGACUGAGACACGGCCCAGACUCCUACGGGAGGCAGCAGUGGGGAAUCGUGCGAAAUGGGCGAAAGCCUGACGCAGCCAUGCCGCGUGAAUGAUGAAGGUCUUAGGAUUGUAAAAUUCUUUAACCGGGGACGAUAAUGACGGUACCCGGAGAAGAAGCCCCGGCUAACUUCGUG